GACGAACGCUGGCGGCGUGCUUAACACAUGCAAGUCGAACGGAAAGGCCCUGCUUUUGUGGGGUGCUCGAGUGGCGAACGGGUGAGUAACACGUGAGUAACCUGCCCUUGACUUUGGGAUAACUUCAGGAAACUGGGGCUAAUACCGGAUAGGAGCUCCUGCUGCAUGGUGGGGGUUGGAAAGUUUCGGCGGUUGGGGAUGGACUCGCGGCUUAUCAGCUUGUUGGGGGGGUAGUGGCUUACCAAGGCUUUGACGGGUAGCCGGCCUGAGAGGGUGACCGGGGACAUUGGGACUGAGAUACGGCCCAGACUCCUACGGGAGGCAGCAGUGGGGAAUAUUGCACAAUGGGCGGAAGCCUGAUGCAGAAACGCCGCGUGCGGGAUGACGGCCUACGGGUUGUAAACCGAUUUCGCCUGUGACGAAGCGUGAGUGACGGUAAUGGGUAAAGAAGCACCGGCUAACUACGUG
rnacentral:rRNA from 1 species